rnacentral:rRNA from 1 species
UACGAAGGGGGCUAGCGUUGCUCGGAAUCACUGGGCGUAAAGCGCACGUAGGCGGAUUGUUAAGUCAGGGGUGAAAUCCUGGAGCUCAACUCCAGAACUGCCUUUGAUACUGGCGAUCUCGAGUCCGGGAGAGGUGAGUGGAACUGCGAGUGUAGAGGUGAAAUUCGUAGAUAUUCGCAAGAACACCAGUGGCGAAGGCGGCUCACUGGCCCGGUACUGACGCUGAGGUGCGAAAGCGUGGGGAGCAACCAGG